rnacentral:tRNA from 1 species
GGGGGCAUAGCUCAGUUGGUAGAGCGCCUGCUUUGCAAGCAGGAUGUCGCAGGUUCGAGCCCUGUUGCUUCCACCA